AGCGAACGCUGGCGGCAGGCCUAACACAUGCAAGUCGAGCGCCCGUAGCAAUACGGGAGCGGCAGACGGGUGAGUAACACGUGGGAACGUACCCUUCGGUCCGGAAUAACCCAGGGAAACUUGGAUUAAUACCGGAUACGUCCGUAAGGAGAAAGAUUUAUCGCCGAAGGAUCGGCCCGCGUCCGAUUAGCUUGUUGGUGGGGUAAUGGCCCACCAAGGCUACGAUCGGUAGCUGGUCUGAGAGGGUGAUCAGCCACACUGGGACUGAGACACGGCCCAGACUCCUACGGGAGGCAGCAGUGGGGAAUAUUGGACAAUGGGCGCAAGCCUGAUCCAGCCAUGCCGCGUGGGUGAUGAAGGCCCUAGGGUUGUAAAGCCCUUUCGGCGGGGAAGAUAAUGACGGUACCCGCAGAAGAAGCCCCGGCUAACUUCGUGCCAGCCGCCGCCGUAAAAC
rnacentral:rRNA from 1 species